rnacentral:rRNA from 1 species
UUGGGUCCUACCCGGACCCGGGAGCAGCACAUCCUCGACCAGGGCUUGCUGGAUGCCCAGCUCGAGCUUUGGCACCACACCUUUAGCUACGUCAAGUCCAUGGCGCUCAAGUCUGCCCUGGACCUCGGCAUUGCCGACGCCAUCCACCGCCAAGGCGGCGCCGCCACGCUCUCCCAGAUUGCCACCACGGCCACGCUCCACCCGACCAAGAUCUCCUGCCUGCGCCGCCUCAUGCGUGUGCUCAUCGUCUCCGGCAUCUUCAGCGUCGAACACCCCAGGGACGACGGCGUUGAGGGCGAGGCCGUCUACGCGCUGACGCCGGCGUCCCGUCUCCUCGUCUGCUCGGCCUCGGUGAACAUGGUCCACAUCACGAAGAUGCUCCUCCACACCAACCUCGUCUCCCCGUUCUCCGACCUCGGGACUUGGUUCCAGCACGAGCUGCCGGAGCCGGACCUCUUCAAGCUGAAGCACGGCAAGACCUUCUGGGAGCUGGCCAACUCGGACCCGGCGUACAACGCAAUCGUCAACGACGGCAUGGUCUCCGACAGCAGCUUCCUCAUGGACAUCGCCAUCAGGGAGUGCGGGGCCGUCUUCCAGGGGAUAGGCUCCCUGGUCGACGUCGCCGGGGGGCACGGUGGAGCGGCACAAGCCAUCUCGAAUGCGUUCCCGGACGUGAAGUGCAGUGUGAUGGACCUCGCCCACGUCGUCGCCAAGGCUCCGAGCGGUAGCGACGUGGAGUACAUCGCCGGCGACAUGUUCGAGAGCAUUCCACCGGCCGAUGCUGUCUUCCUCAAGUGGGUCAUGCAUGAUUGGGGUGACGAGGACUGCAUCAAGAUACUAAAAAAUUGCAAGAAAGCCAUCGCGCCAAAAGAUGCAGGAGGGAAGGUGAUAAUUGUCGACAUGGUGAUUGGUGCAGGACCGCAGGACCCGAAGCACAAAGAGACACAAGUCAUGUUUGACCUUUUCAUCAUGUUCAUCAAUGGCGUCGAGCGAGAUGAGCAGGAGUGGAAGAAGAUAAUCUUCGAGGCUGGAUUCAACGACUACAAAAUCACACCCAUUCUAGGUGUGAGAUCGAUCAUUGAGGUUUACCCAUGA